GACGAACGCUGGCGGCGUGCUUAGCACAUGCAAGUCGAACGGAAAGGCCCUGCUUUUGUGGGGUGCUCGAGUGGCGAACGGGUGAGUAACACGUGAGUAACCUGCCCUUGACUUUGGGAUAACUUCAGGACACUGGGGCUAAUACCGGAUAGGAGCUCCUGCUGCAUGGUGGGGGUUGGAAAGUUUCGGCGGUUGGGGAUGGACUCGCGGCUUAUCAGCUUGUUGGUGGGGUAGUGGCUUACCAAGGCUUUGAUGGGUAGCCGGCCUGAGAGGGUGACCGGCCACAUUGGGACUGAGAUACGGCCCAGACUCAUACGGGAGGCAGCGGUGGGGAAGAUUGCACAAUGGGCGGAAGCCAGAUGCAGCAACGCCGCGUGCGGGAUGACGGCCUUCGGGUUGUAAACCGCUUUCGCCUGGGACGAAGCGUGAGUGACGGUAAUGGGUAAAGAAGCACCGGCUAACUACGUG
rnacentral:rRNA from 1 species